AGCGUCUGGGAGGUGGGAGCGCGCCUCGUGGAUGACAACAAAUUUGUCGCGCAGUGUCGGAGUCCGCUUUGCCGCCGCCGCCUGCCCUUUGGCUCUCGUGCAUACUAUCCGGACCGACAGAACACUUUGGAAACCUCUGGCCUGGGGCGCCGGGUUCCGCUCACAGACCUGUUCCCGCCGGGCCUAGUGCGAACGACGCGACGCGGGCCAUGGGGUCGCCCUGAGAGAAGGCGGCGCAGAACUGUCAUGCAGUGGUCCCCGCGAACCUAGACCCCAUAGCAGCCUGGGGACGCAGGCCGGAUCCGGUCGCCGCAGCGCGCAGCCCCGGCCCUCCCAGCCGCCAGUCCUCACCAACAUGCCUUGGCCAUUUUCGGAGUCGAUUAAGAAGAGGGCCUGUCGGUACCUCCUGCAGAGAUACCUGGGCCACUUCUUACAGGAGAAGUUGAGCCUGGAGCAGCUGAGCCUGGACCUGUAUCAGGGCACCGGGUCCCUCGCCCAGGUCCCCUUGGAUAAAUGGUGUCUUAAUGAAAUCCUGGAGUCAGCAGACGCACCUUUAGAAGUCACUGAAGGAUUCAUUCAGUCAAUUUCCCUGUCAGUUCCAUGGGGCUCCUUGCUGCAGGACAAUUGUGCACUGGAAGUGAGAGGACUAGAGAUGGUCUUCCGACCUAGACCUCGUGUAGCGACUGGGUCUGAGCCUAUGUACUGGUCAAGCUUCAUGACCAGCAGUAUGCAGCUGGCAAAGGAGUGUCUUAGCCAGAAACUGACAGAUGAGCAAGGAGAAGCAUCCCAGCCCUUCGAAGGACUGGAAAAGUUUGCGGAAACCAUUGAAACAGUGCUAAGAAGAGUGAAAGUUACUUUUAUAGACACUGUGUUAAGAAUUGAACAUGUGCCAGAAAAUUCCAAAACUGGAGCUGCACUUGAGAUCCGAGUAGAGAGAACCGUGUACUGUGAUGAGACUGCCGAUGAGUCCUCAGGAGUCAAUGUGCAUCAGCCCACAGCGUUUGCUCACAAACUGCUGCAGCUCUCUGGAGUGUCUCUCUUCUGGGAUGAAUUUUCUGCUUCAGCAAAAUCUUCCCCCAUGUGUUCAACUGCACCAGUGGAAACUGAGCCAAAGCUGUCACCUAGCUGGAACCCCAAAAUUGUUUAUGAGCCACACCCACAAUUAACUAGAACUUUACCAGAGAUAGCACCCUCGGAUCCAGUGCAGAUUGGAGGUCUAGUGGGCAGACUGGAAUUGAGUCUCACUUUGAAACAGAAUGAAGUGCUUCCAGGAGCCAAGUUGGAUGUUGAUGGACAGAUAGAUUCCAUUCAUCUAUUCCUGUCACCAAGGCAGGUACAUCUGCUUUUGGAUAUGCUAGCAGCUAUUGCUGGACCAGAAAAUUCUAGCAAAAUUGGGUUAGCAAAUAAAGAUAGGAAAAAUCGACCCAUGCAGCAGGAAGAUGAAUAUCGAAUUCAGAUGGAAUUAAACCGGUAUUAUCUGAGGAAAGAUUCUCUGUCUAUGGGUGUAUCUUCAGAGAAAAGCUUCUAUGAAACAGAGACAGCUCGUACACCUUCUAGCCGUGAAGAAGAAGUUUUCUUCUCCAUGGCCGACAUGGACAUGUCUCACAGUCUGUCUUCUCUUCCACCCCUUGGAGACCCUCCACACAUGGACUUGGAGUUAUCCCUGACUAGUACAUACACAAACACGCCUGCAGGAUCGCCACUAAGUGCUACUGUGCUGCAGCCAACUUGGGGAGAAUUUGCGGACCACAAAGAGCAGCCUGUAAGAGGGCCAGCAUUCUCAUCUGACUUGGUCCACCCGGCGCCUUUACCAAAAGCUGCCCUGCCCUCUAGGUCUGUUUCAGUGGAUGAAUCGAGGCCUGAGUUCAUCUGCAGACUGGCAGUCGGCAUCUUCUCAGUCUCCGUGCUUCACAUCGAUCCUCUGUCUCCAGCGGAAACAUCCCCAAACGUUAAUCCAUUGACACCCUUGGCCGUCGCGUUCUUCUCUCGUAUAGAAAAGAUGGACCCAACAAGAUUGUCAGCAGAAGAUUUUAAGUCCUUCCGAGCAGUCUUUGCAGAAGCUUGUUCCCACGAUCACCUUAGAUUUAUAGGCACUGGCGUCAAAGUGUCCUAUGAGCAGAGGCAAAGGUCAGCUUCCCGCCAUUUUAGCACCGACAUGUCGAUUGAGCAAAUGGAGUUUUUGGAGUGUCUAUUCCCAACAGAUUUUCAUUCUGUCCCUCCCCACUACACAGAGCUCCUAACGUUCCAUUCCAAAGAAGGGACUGAUGCCCACCUCCCCGUGUGUCUUCAGCUUUACUAUAAGCACUCUGAGACUAGAGGACCCCAGGGUAAUCAAGCAAGACUGAGUUCAGUUCCUCAGAAGGCGGAAUUACAAAUUAAAUUAAAUCCAGUGUGUUGUGAGCUGGAUAUCAGUAUUGUGGAUAGGUUAAAUUCCUUGCUUCAACCACAAAAACUCACCACAGUAGAGAUGAUGGCCUCGCACAUGUAUGCAUCAUAUAAUAAGCAUGUUAGUUUGCAUAAAGCUUUCACUGAAGUGUUUCUAGAUGACUCUCACAGUCCUGCGAAUCGUCGGGUGUCUGUACAAGUUGCCACCCCAGCGCUGCAUCUUUCUGUUCGUUUUCCCAUUCCUGACCUUCGGUCAGACCAGGAGAGAGGACCCUGGUUUAAGAAGUCACUUCAGAAGGAGACCCUCCAUUUAGCAUUCACAGAUCUGGAGUCUCAGACGGAGUUUGUGGGAGGAUCCACCCCAGAACAAACUAAACUGGAACUGACUUUUAGAGAGCUAACUGGGUCAUUUCAGGAGGAGAAGGGGGAGCCAUCUAUCAAGUUUUUCCAUGUAUCUGGUGGAGUUGAUGGAGACACAGCAUCAUCAGAUGACUUUGACUGGCCAAGAAUGGUACUGAAAAUAAAUCCACCAGCCAUGCAUUCCAUUUUGGAGAGAAUAGCAGCUGAAGAGGAGGAAGAGAGUGAUGGUCACUACCAGGAAGAGGAAGAAGGAGGGGCUCAUUCGCUGAAAGAUGUCUGUGACCUGAGGCGACCAGCUCCGUCUCCCUUUUCCUCUCGUAGAGUAAUGUUUGAGAAUGAGCAGAUGGUGAUGCCAGGAGACCCUGCAGAGAUGACAGAGUUUCAGGAUAAAGCCAUCAGCAAUUCCCACUAUGUGCUGGAACUUCUGCUACCAAAUGUUCACAUGACACUGCCCAAUAAAAACUUUUACGAGAAGCUGUAUAACAGGAUCUUCAAUGACUUGCUUCUCUGGGAGCCAACAGCUCCUUCACCAGUGGAGACACUUGAGAAUAUUUCCUAUGGCAUUGGGCUCUCGGUAGCCAGUCAGCUGAUAAACACCUUCAGCAAAGACAGCUUCAGUCCCUUUAAAUCUGCAGUUCACUAUGAUGAAGACAGUGGAUCUGAAGAAGAGACUUUGCAGUAUUUUUCUGCUGUUGAUCCCAACUAUCGUUCCCGUAGGAAAAAAAAGUUGGACUCUCAGAACAAGAACUCUCAGAGUUUCCUCUCAGUCCUUCUGAGUAUCAAUCAUGGAUUAAUGGCAGUGUUCACAGAUGUAAAGCAAGAUAAUGGAGAGCCGAUGGAAAAUAAGCAUGGUGAAUUCUGGUUAGAAUUCAACAGUGGCUCAUUAUUUUGUGUGACAAAAUACGAAGGUUUCGAUGACAAGCACUACAUCUGCCUACAUUCCAGCAGCCUCAGUCUGUACCACAAAGGCAUAGUAGAUGGAGCCAUUCUUGCUACAGAGACACGGUUGCCCAGUUCAACCCGCCCACAUUGGUUGGAACCUACAAUUUAUUCCUCUGAAGAAGACGGUCUUAGCCGAGCUGCCUCUGACGGUGUUGGAGGAGACAAUUUGAAUAUGCUCUCAGUGGCAGUGAAGAUUGAGUCCGAUAAAUCCGAGUCCAAUACGAAGGAGUUCCUUGUAGCCGUGGGGCUGAAAGGAGCCACUCUACAGCACAGAAUGCUGCCGACUGGACUCAGUUGGCAUGAGCAGAUUUUAAACUUCUUGAAUAUUGCUGAUGAACCUGUUUUGGGAUAUAACCCUCCAACUUCAUUUACAACAUUUCAUGUUCAUCUUUGGAGCUGUGCACUUGAUUACAGGCCCCUUCACCUGCCAAUCCGAUCCCUUCUUACUGUUGAGACAUUCAGCAUUUCUAGCAGCGUUGCCUUGGAUAAAUCUUCUUCCACUCUCAGAAUCAUCAUGGAUGAAGCUGCUUUACUCCUAUCUGACAAGUGUAACACUGUCACUAUAAACCUGAAUAGAGAUUAUGUUCGUGUGAUGGACAUGGGACUUUUAGAGCUGACCAUAACUGCAGUGAAGUCAGAUUCUGACGGAGAGCAGACUGCGCCUCGCUUUGAGUUGCACUGUUCCAGUGAUGUCGUCCAUAUCAGAACCUGCUCAGACUCCUGCGCUGCGCUAAUGAAUCUCAUUCAGUAUGUCGCAAGUUACGGGGACUUACAUGGGUCUAACAAAGCAGAGAUGAAGCCUGGAGUCCCACAGAGAAAGCCAAAGGUAGAUUCCAGUGUUCAGUCAUCAUCACGUGGCCCCGUGCUUCCUGAAGCUGAGCAGCAGAUUUUACGGGACCUGAUGAGUGACGCCAUGGAGGAGAUUGACAUGCAGCAGGCCUCUGCCCCUGUCGGACCAGAGGCUAAUGGUGUCCUGGAUGAAAAGUUGCACGCUCAGGAGCCGUGCUGUUCAGACCUCUUCUUGUUCCCAGACGAGAGUGGGAAUGUGUCCCAGGAGCCAAGCCCUACUUAUGCUUCCCCUACUCACCACCUGAUCAGCGACACAAUGGCAGGUGCACCCACUGAGAAUGAUGAUUUUUGCAUUCUUUUUGCACCUAAAGUAGCCAUUCAGGAGAAGGAAGAAGAGCCCGUGGUAAAGGUCAUGGUUGAUGAAGCGAUUGUGAUAAGAGACGACUAUUUCAGUCUGCCCAUUACAAGGACAGCUGGCAGCAAAGCCCCACUCCAGUUUCCUGUCCCUGACAUUCGCUAUGUUGUGAAGGAAGUCUCUCUGGUGUGGCAUCUCUAUGGAGGCGAGGACUUCGCAACAGUUCCUCCUCCUUCUCCAGCCAAGAGUUACAUUAGUCCCCAUAGCUCACCUUCUCAAACACCUACAAAGCAUGGACGUCAUACAGUCUAUGGGGGCAAAGGAAGAAAUCAUGACUUUUUAAUGGAAAUCCAAUUAAGCAAGGUGAAGUUUCAGCAUGAAGUCUACCCCCCAUGUAAGCCUGAGUGUGAGUCCAGCCUCCUAGAAUACCCGGUCUCCAGGCAGGUGUUCGUCGUUCAGGAUCUUGAAAUUAGAGAUCGGCUGGCGACAUCACAAAUGAACAAAUUUUUAUACCUGUAUUGCAGCAAAGACAUGCCUCGUAAAGCUCAUUCCAACAUGUUGACAAUUAAAGCAUUGCACGUCCGUCCAGAGUCUGGUAGGUUACCGCAGGAAUGCUGCUUGAGGGUGUCACUGAUGCCGCUUCGCCUCAAUAUCGACCAGGACGCUUUGUUCUUCCUCAAGGAUUUCUUCACAAGUCUUUCUACAGAAGUGGAGCUUCUCUUGACUCCAGAUCCAGAAGUUACAAAGUCUCCUGGAGCUGAUGUCACCUGCAGUUUGCCAAGGCAUUUGAGUACCUCAAAGGAGCCAAAUCUAGUUGUUUCUUUCCCUGGGCCAAAGCAACCUUCCUCAAACCGUAGUGCCAAUUCAGUGGAGGGGGCUAGUGGACUGAAGGAGAAGGACUUCUCAGCUGAGGAAGCUUCAUUUAGUGACCAGCCUGUGUUUUUUAGAGAAUUCAGAUUCACGGCAGAAGUUCCUAUUCGGCUUGACUAUCAUGGCAAACAUGUGUCAAUGGACCAGGGAACACUGGCUGGGAUUUUGAUUGGCCUGGCCCAGUUGAACUGUUCUGAGCUAAAGCUGAAGAGGCUCUUCUAUAGGCACGGUUUGCUAGGUAUUGACAAAUUGUUCUCAUAUGCAAUCACCGAAUGGCUCACUGACAUUAAGAAGAACCAGCUACCAGGAAUCCUAGGAGGUGUUGGGCCUAUGCAUUCACUAGUUCAAUUAGUGCAAGGCCUCAAAGACUUGGUGUGGCUGCCAAUCGAGCAGUACCGGAAGGAUGGCCGCAUCGUCAGAGGCUUCCAGAGAGGUGCUGCUUCCUUUGGUACCUCAACUGCAAUGGCUGCUCUAGAACUCACAAACAGAAUGGUUCAAACCAUACAGGCAGCAGCAGAGACUGCUUAUGACAUGGUGUCUCCAGGUACCCUUUCUAUUGAACCUAAGAAGGCAAAGAGAUUUCCUCAUCACCGUUUAGCCCACCAGCCAGUGGACCUGAGGGAAGGUGUGGCCAAGGCCUACAGUGUUGUAAAAGAGGGAAUUGCAGACACGGCUCAUACCAUUUAUGAGACAGCAGCUCGAGAACACGAGAGCAGAGGGGUCACCGGCGCUGUGGGUGAAGUUCUGCGCCAGAUCCCACCGGCAGUGGUCAAGCCUCUAAUUGUAGCCACCGAAGCAACAUCCAAUGUGUUAGGUGGCAUGAGAAACCAAAUUAGACCAGAUGUUCGGCAGGACGAGUCACAGAAAUGGCGCCACGGGGAGGACUGAGGCUUCCAGUGUGACCCACAGAGUGUGUGGAGCUAAGGAGCGGGGGUCCUAGUGGCAGCUUCAUAGAGAGUUGUCUAAUUUAUGUGCUCAUCUCAGGAACAAAAGCAGUUUUUAGUUAAAUAAUUCUUUGUCAAAACACAUGCAGCCAAAACCUUGUGACAUUUUAGGGCCUGGCACUUGCCUACAGAAGUGGCAGGUGUCUGGUGUCAUGGUCAGUAGAGAUUGCUGCCGUGCUAAAUGCUUUGCUUUCGUUAAAGUGGCUAUAAUCGUACUUGUUACUGACAAGAUCUCAUUGGGAACAUCUUUGUAAACAGUGUUGAGUGCUAAAGAAAAAUAUUGGAGCACACUUGUAGUUCUGGGGAGUUGAUUUCUCAACUCAGUUUCAACACUUCUGAUGCUGCUGAGAGAAGCCACAGGGAAAGCAAAGCAGCUAGGGCUCCAGUGUCUGAUAAAGCAGGGCCUCGACUCCCUGAGGGACCAGCUGCUCAGCUCACCUGGAGAAAGUCCUGAAGCCUGGCAGCAGUGGUUGGAGCACCUGGAGAGUAUCUGCUUGUAAACAGAACUCCGCCUCCCAGUCAGCACAUCCCAGAACCUGGAAGUGGCUCUAAAGUGGUUUCUCCAUUUCUGCUUGGCAUUUGCUCCUUGUGCGGAGCAGCCCCAUGUGCUGUCGUGUGUCCAACAGCCAGCUAAUAGAUAGCAAACACUCCCCUCAUUCCCCCAGACAUGUCAAAUGUCUCAGCAGGAGCAAAAUCCUCCCAGAAGCCCAGGUAACUCGUGUGUGGUUGCUUGCAUCUGUAAUCCUAGCACUUGGGAGACCUAAGCAUGAGGAUACUAUUUAUUUAAGUUAGCCUGGGCUGUGUAGUUCCAGCCCAGCCUGGACUACUACCUUGUCUACAAGUAUCAUCGUCUCUGCUUAAAGGCUGCUCUGUGGAAAGACAGUGCAGUCGGAGGGCCGACCCCGUGUCAUAUAAGGUAGAACAGGGCUUAAACCCUUUGUUGUACAGCGUUUGUAUAAUUUAUUAAAGGUACAUUUGCA